CGAAUCCGCGCGGGAGAGUCCUCGGUCACCGGCUCCGCCGAAUCGUCCGAGGCGCCGAAGGAGCAAGCCCUCCCUUGAAUCUCUCAGGCCCCGAUACCGCACGGAUGAG
rnacentral:ncRNA from 2 species